rnacentral:rRNA from 1 species
GGAAUCUUAGACAAUGGGCGCAAGCCUGAUCUAGCCAUCCCGCGUGCAGGAUGACGGCCCUAUGGGUUGUAAACUGCUUUUAGAUAGGAAGAAAUCACUUGAUUUAUUGAGUGUUGACGGUACUAUCAGAAUAAGCACCGGCUAACUCCGUGCCAGCAGCCGCGGUAAUACGGAGGGUGCAAGCGUUAUCCGGAAUUACUGGGUUUAAAGGGUGCGUAGGCGGCCUUAUAAGUCAGGCGUGAAAUUUAUAUGCUUAACAUAGGAAUUGCGUUUGAUACUGUGAGGCUGGAAUCAGGAUGAGGUAAGCGGAAUGUGGCAAGUAGCGGUGAAAUGCAUAGAUAUGCCAUAGAACACCAAUUGCGAAGGCAGCUUACUAGACCUAGAUUGACGCUGAGGCACGAAAGCGUGGGGAGCG